UAGGGAAUCUUCCGCAAUGGGCGAAAGCCUGACGGAGCAACGCCGCGUGAGUGAUGAAGGUCUUCGGAUCGUAAAACUCUGUUAUUAGGGAAGAACAAAUGUGUAAGUAACUAUGCCCGUCUUGACGGUACCUAAUCAGAAAGCCUCGGCUAACUACGUGCCAGCAGCCGCGGUAAUACGUAGGUGGCAAGCGUUAUCCGGAAUUAUUGGGCGUAAAGCGCGCGUAGGCGGUUUUUUAAGUCUGAUGUGAAAGCCCACGGCUCAACCGUGGAGAGUCAUUGGAAACUGGAAAACUUGAGUGCAGAAGAGGAAAGUUGAAUUCCAUGUGUAGCGGUGAAAUGCGCAGAGAUAUGGAGGAACACCAGUGGCGAAGGCGACUUUCUGGUCUGUAACUGACGCUGAUGUGCGAAAGCGUGGGGAUCAAACAGG
rnacentral:rRNA from 1 species